GCGAGUGUGACCCACUCCGAGCGAGCUCGGAAGACCAGCUGAGGGAGGAUGCAGGGGGCGGGGAGCCCACUGAUUACACAGCAGGAAUGCUGAUAUCUACAAAACCAGCGAGGGUUAAGAGGUGAGGGCUCUUGACUCAAGGACACACUGGGCAUUUUCCAGUUGGAGAGUUACAGUGAAUUAAGGUCACUUGGUAUUUUCAAGUGUUUCCCAAACUGCUGUAAACGAAAGUCUGAAAUUACUCCAUUCUGAAAAUUGUUACUGAUCUCGCAACAGCAGCAAACAUUUGCACGAGGGUUUCCAGUGGCUGUAGGUAAACAAGCCUCGAAUCUCCUUACCGCGGAAACAGAACUGUACAGACAGAGACAAGCUCCAGGCCGAAAGCUGCCUACAGCACCCAGCCUAUACUCGUCCGGAGUCUAGAGUCCAAAUCUGUCCCAGCUUCUGCUCCAAAGGACCCUCCAUUGCAUAAAUGUCUGCAUGUGGAAAUCACUGCAUUUCCUGCUCACAUGAACAGGGUCUGCACUGUAUUAUGAAGGGACUGAGCCUCUGUAAGAACAGGGAGGAGGAAACUAUUCCCCAUGGCUCAAUCACACGUUUCUCUGAAACGACAACGACAAAAUCCAUUCUGGAUAAGGACAAAGGUAACCCUCUUCAUGUUAAAAACCGCCCCCUCCCCAUCUUAGUGGUCCCCAUCACUGUGAGAAGCUGGGCCACCUUGGGGAUAGGUAAGUACAAACUUGAUUUUGGACAUGUUCUUCCCUGGGCUUCCCCUACCCAAGUGGAACCGAAGGACUGAAACCCAUCCAGAGCCAAGUCCUAGGUCACAGACUCCACAGAACAGAGCCACUAGCAUGCCUUUCCUCUCCCUGGCUCUGUCGCACGCAGUACAGCCAGCACGUAGUUCAGACCAGUGAUCUAGCACACCCAAGCAAACCAAGGCCAGCCACCACCAGCACCCUGGCUUCCUUUUCUCUCUGACCCCUCAAGAAUCCGCUCCUCUCUGACUGUCUUCCUCCAGUCUGCUUCUCUCCUCAGCAUGACCCUCCUGUAAAGCCCACUGCCCUCUCCAGGCCAUGAAAUGGCCUUUCUGUUGUCUGUCAGGAUUUGAAAGACAUGCCCUGCAGUGCUGUUUGCCUCCAACCCCAGACAUGCCCCAGAGAAAGUCCACUGUAAUGAGGAGCUUUAAAAGUCUCUGCUCCACGUAACUACAGCUAAGGAAACUGCAUACCACCGUUUUGGUAAGGCACAAAAUAAUCAAUUUCUUUUUCUCUUUGGUGCUGUUUUUAAGACAGGGUCUCACUCUGUAGCCCAAGGUGACCUCACUAGGUGUCCCAGGCCUGCUUUAAGUACCUACCUCAAUCUCCUCAAGUGAGGAAUCAGAGGUGUGGGGGCAAACAGCACCUGGAUAGUAGACACUUGGACUCUGACAUCAAAUUUUUUGAGACAGACAGACAGACAGACAGAAGACAGACAUGCCAUAUGCAAGAGGAAAAUGGCCAUUGCAUAUUAACGUUGUGUGUUUUGUACUUUAAAAGGCUCACCGGCUGACAACGACCUUAUCAUUCUGGUGGUUCCAAGUGGAAAAUGGCGUCACAGGUGCAACGAGACAAGGCUGGAACAAUGCGUUCCUGCAAACAGUCCAAGGAAGUUUCUUUUUCCUUUCAAAGAUAAAGAACAUAACCCAGAAAUAAUAGAACUACUUACGCACAAAGGAAAGACUUGGCAGUGGCUCUGCGAGUCAGGUUUAAGGGUCUGUUUGUCUUUCCAUGUUACAGGGGAAGGCAAAUGAGCAGGAAAGAGAGCAAGGGCAAGUCUGCCCUCUGAAGCCCACGGCUCACCAAAGCCACGAGCAUGGUUUUACCUUUAAAACGUUAAAAAGUAAAACAACAAUAAUAAAAAAUAAUAGUAAGCAAAGAAACAGACGUGGGGGAGGAAAAGGGGAAGAAAUCUGUAAUGGUUUUUCUCAGUUAAAACUCAAGUAAACUAAAAAAAAAAAAAAAAAAAAAAACAAAAAACUCAAGUAAACUAAUGUUUAAGCUGAUGACGGGACCUAAAAAUUUCUUACUGAUUCCAUCAACUGAAAUAGAUUUUAAAAGCAACUGUACGCAAACAAAGCAAACGAUUCAGGUAUUAGGCAGAAGAGAAAGACGAAAUAGAAUGAGGAAGACAGCACUUGGGAGACAAAGGCAGGUAGACGUCUGUGAGUUUAAGGCUGGGUUAUACACAGCGAGUAUCAGAGAACCUAUGGCUGCCCAGAGAGGCCACAUCCUAAGGGGAGGGGGCAUCGUACAGAAAAAUGAUCAGAGUGGCCUCUGCCUUUGCCCUUAGCAUAAUCAGGUAUCCACACACCAGGGACAAGUAUCCUUCAACACUGACAGCGUUCAGUGGGAUAGGUGCCCUCAAGGAGCUUCAGUUAAAGCCCGCAGUGUGAAGAAUCACAGAAAGCAGUCAUCAUGGCUACACCAUCAGGGAAGACCCCCGAGAGGGAGCCCCAUCUUUGCCAAGUGCCUCAGAGAUACUCUGAGGAGGGGAGUCAUGUUCCAAAAGACACUUGAGUCAAAAGCAUCAUGGGCUAGUGACGGGGCUCGGUGUGGACAGACAGCUUGUGGCUCGGUGGACAUAUCUUUUUCUUCUGAGCUCUCACUACCUGGCUCUGCCUUCAGGGCACCUCCUCUUCUAACACCCCAUGUCUCCCGGGAUGAUGAGGACUUUGUCUUCCCCUUCCUUUGGGUAGGGGCACAAAUCUGAUCCUUUCAGAUUAAAAUCCAGCCACUUGGAGUGAGUCUCAAGCACUCAAUCCUGCCUCGGCUCGCUUCAAUACAGCACGGCGUACAUACAGACUGAUGGACAUUAUUAAUUUACUUAAGUAAGUGCUCUACUCUGGCUACCAAAAAGAACAAAGUUCCCAUGGACCACUGGACUAUGACUAGGGGCUCCAGAGGCAAUCUGCUCCCAAUCUGCUAUCUCUGUCUGAGGGACAAAGUAGUCUUGAGAAUCACAAACACAUUUCUGUCUGCCUCCCCACCCCAGUCAACCACCCCACCUCACCCCCUCCAAAUGAAACUCCCAGCUUCCAGGUGUAUGUAUAAACAGAGGUGGCAAAAUCCAUUCAAAAAGCUACCAUGUAUCCAAGCCAAUGGCUUCCAGAAGGACACGUCUGUUGAUAAUGUGGAACUGGCUUUAGUUAGAAAUCUACCCAGGGUGGGAUGAUCUGCCUAUAAAACUGGAUACAUCAGACCCACGUGUCAAGUGCAGCAAAGGGGACGUCUCACCAGAGAUUAGUCUGAGAGAGUCACAGUUUUACUCAGUUCCUUUUGCCUUAACUUGUGCUUUCAAAGUGGUGUGGGUCUGUAAGCAUCGCUUCUGUGGUUUUAUAAACGUACUUUAUUCAGGAAGGCAACGGGGCCACUUUGUAGCCAAGUCCCUAAUAUAGAAAGGCGGGCUGGCAAGGGCUGACUAUUCUGUUCUGUAGUCCAGAAAGUGUCAUGAAUUAGAAAAGGACAAACUGCCCGUACACCAGGACUCCUCUCCAGGAGGGAGGCCUCAGCACAUCUCAACUCCUGGACUCUGGUUCUAACCUUGUCCCAGGGAGGCUCGUCUCACGCUGAUGGGCUCGGGAGGCUCCUGUGGGUGUUUACACUGCAUUGCGGGCUCAGGGGAACAGAAAUAGUGCCGUUUCAAUCCUCAGCCCAGCCUCCAAGAGAUCCUCAAGUGGGUGAGAGGCUGGGCACGUCUGUCCUUGGUUAGAGCUGCAACAGGAGAGUGAGCAUUUACAUCUUGGGAGGCUCUCCGAAGCCACAGGCACCUGUUCUGCUAUCUGGUGACAAUGUCCUCCCAGAGCAAUUCCAAACGAGCCGGGUGAAGGAAGAAAAUACAUGCAAAACUGGACUUUCCUCUGGAUUCAAGGUAAAAGGCAUGGAGGGGUUUCCUGCUCAGGAAGUGUGGAGAACACUUAUGUUCCCAGGUUCCGAACGAAGAGCACGUGCAGUGCCCAGGAGGGGCUUGUGACUGCUGAUACAUCUGCAUGUCCUCAGGCACACAAAGGAACAUGAAGUGACUCUCUCGCUGACCUGGAAAGAUCACAGGCGGCUCCGCAACGGUUCCCUCGCAACUAACUGGAUGAGACAUCUCAUUCAAAAUAAUUUUUAACUUGGUGGUUAACAGUUAGAGUACCAAGCAAUGACCAUCUCCAACAGUGGUAAUUUUUUUCAUCAGUUCAGUUAAAUGAACCAAGGAAUGCAGGUUCUCCCCACAUUAUUCUUAACGUCCAAGGUUCAAACACAUGCUGGUCCUAAAGGCUUGGCGUCAAGGCCUCCAUGGAGGUCAACCUGAGUGGAAAGAGAACUCUUUAUCUGUAGACUCUGGGUUUAGGUGGCUAUAUUUGCUGAAACUAUAUAUCCAGAGACUGAACACCGGAAGAAAACGGGAGAUGGGGGAAUGGAGGGGACACAGGAAAGGGUCUGCAGGGAAAGGGGAGGGCUGUGUGGCUGACCACUGAAAAGACCAACCAUCCCUGAGUAGAUCAGAAAGCAAGGCCAAGAGCCCCAGCCUCUAUGCCAAGCUCCACAUGAAGGCUGUGUAGGUAUAGUUGGUUUAAGGAAACCCAGUACGAACUCUCUAGAUCUACGAUGAUUACUGGUGGUACCUUUCUUGGUCAGACCUUGUGCGUUGCUUUGCCUGAACGGCUGAAUGUCUGAACUACAGAUGGGGUCCAGGGGAGAUUCAGACGGAAAGUAUUACGGGCCACUACAUAUGAUUAUGAAUGACAUAAUAACAACAAUGUGCUCGAGUUAUCGAAUAAAAAAUUCAAAAACACCUCCCGGGGGGAUCCUAUUUAUCCCCACAGUACUGACAGAUGCUCAGGACAAGCUCCACAGAACGACUCAAAGCCACAGUCCAUUGGAUUCCAGUGUCCAUGCCCUGGGUACUGACUGACACCACCUCCUUUGAACAGUCGUGAAAAGUAAAGGCCUCCACCCUCUUACAUAUCACCGUAAACUCUGAAACGGAACUCUGAUGACUUAACACUGAAGCCGGUGACUAUUUUCUACUAAUUAUUAUUUCACGUCCUCAAAUCUGGAGCACUGGCAAACGCAUCCACCGUUAUGAGGGAGCAGGAACUGUGACAGUUGACAGGAAAGGGGGAUAAAGAAUCAAACUCACGAGAACUUCAAGUACCUGUCUGGUACAAUCAAUUCCUGGUACAAAUUAGAUAUGCACGGUGUUACUUCUAAAAACACUCUGUACAUUAAGAAAAUUAGGUUCUAUUCCUUGUAACAAUAAGUCAUUCUCAUGAGUUGGAGGGUUAAUUACUAUGAGACACCAACCAAUCAAGUGAAAAGUUCGGCUGCAAAACUGAAUUUUGAGGUUAUAAUUAUAAACUACCAGAACUGGGAACUGUUCCCCCAUUUAUAAGCUUGCCGUCUUCCAAACGCAUAGACAAACGCACCUGAAUGUGUUCCUGCCUUUCUGCUUUACUACAAAGUGUCCCCCCCCCAAAAAAAACCAAAGAACAAAAACAACAACAACAACAAAAAACCACCUUAAGGCCUGUGAGGGGGGAGGAGGUGGUUCACUGGUAAAGUACCUGUCACAAAACCAAGAGGACCUGAAUUCAGAUCCCCCAGUACCCACUAAAAAAAGGUGGGGGGUUGGGGAUUUAGCUCAGUGGUAGAGCGCUUGCCUAGCAAGCGCAAGGCCCUGGGUUCGGUCCCCAGCUCCGAAAAAAAGAAAAGAGAAAAAAAAAAAAAGAUGGACAGUGUCAUGUAAAUCCUGGGAGCUCACUGGUCUAGCUGAUUCGGUCCCCUUAAGUUCAGUGUGAAACCCUAGGUCAAAGGAACCACACAAGGUGAAGAGAGAAACUAAGUAUGACUUCUAACCGGUGAUGUCUGUGUGUCUGUCUAGAGGUAUGCUGCACUUCCUAGUAAAAUCCUGGCAAGACUGUAUUCAGUAUAGAGGAGGUGAUGGUGACACAGUUAGCAACAGAAAGAACUGCGAUAGGGUCCCCUGACUUCGAAAUUUAGGAUGCGAUAACACCAUGUAAAACUAUGCGAUACGGACAGGGAAAUGAGCCACACACCAAUGCAACAGCACAGAGGGACUGGAGCAAGGCCAGUUCAGCAUGUGACUGAGAGGUGACAAGGCUCAAGCUCAACCCAAUGUGGAAAGAGCAGUCUGGGGUACAGACGGCGCUCCCAGGGGUGGGGAGGAAUGAAUCCCAACCUGGGAGGAACCUACCCCCACCUUACUCUCAUACUUUAUUUGAAAACAAUGGACUCAAAACGGUUCAUACAGUUAAAAAAAUCCAACAUAAGCCAUCAAACAGUAAAGCUAGCAGGGGCUUGGAGGCAGGGGGAUGGAUCCCUGGAAUCUAUCACUAGGAACAGAGUUCCUGGUUUAGGCUAUAGGAGACCAGAACUCAAAAGGAAAAAAAAAAAAAUACAGGCCACCAGGCUUUCACAGACUUAAGAAAAUUUGCUCGGUGAAAGGCUGUUAAGAAAAAUGAUAAAGCACAGACUGGGAGAAAAUAUUUACAAACCACGUAUCUGACAAAGAGCUAGAGUCUGGAAUCUAUAAAGAACUCUGAAAACUCAACAUUACAAAAUAAACAAUCUAAUUAGAGCAAAAGACGAACAGAUGCCUCACUAAAGAGGAGGGUACAUAAACAGGAAACAAACACAGGAGAAGGUGUCUGACAUCAUUAGCCACCAGGGAAAUGCAAAUUAAAACCACAAUGAGAUAUCACUCCACAUCAACACACACACACACACACACACACACACACACACACACACACACACACACACACAGGGGCACAGAGAAGGAAGUAAGGAGACCCCCUGGGCACUCAGACUUCCCCGAGAAGAGUAGAUAAUAAAAUGGCACAGCUACUCUGGACUGUUUGGGUGUCUUUACAAAUAAACACGCAGCCACUAUUCUAUAAAACAGAAAUUAAACUUCUAGACACUUCUCCCAAAGAAAAGAAAGGUUACUUACAUUUGUCAAAAUCUGAACAGAGAGGGGUAGAUAGGUAAACUAUGGGAUGUUUAAAAGGAACAAUUAUUAUAAAAUGGCCUUAAACUGAUACCCCUUUGAGAGGGAGAACUGAUUCUUUGUGACCUUGGGUAAGGAGGUUUGUGUAAGGAGGAUAAUACGUUAGUAGACAGGGACCCACACACUGGAUGUUACCUGAUGUAGCAACAGCAAUUUUCUGUUUGCCAAACUGCACUACAUUUCGGGAAAGUUCUGGGGGGAGGAGGGGAUACAGCACGGGAUACUAUUACUUCUUGUAACUGCCUGAGAGUCUGUGACUCUAUAGUCUCUCAGGAAUGAAGGGGGUUUUCUUUUUAAUGGACAUUUCAAAAAAAACCCAGCAGGUAAAUUAACUUCAUGUCUUCUAGUAGGCUAGGCAGAUGGCUUCUUGCAAACCACACUGCCUUGGUUGCAGGACAUGUACUGCCUGUGCACUACUACUUCAUCGGAAGUCACAGCUUGGGGGAGGGGUGCUUAGCUCAAGUGUCUAUGUAGAAACCCCAUCUUUAAGUUAAAAUGCAUUCUUAGCAAAAGUUGCUAUUUUAGUCAUAGCAGUUUAGGGAUACACACACACACACACACACACACACACACACACACACAUAUAUUGAAAACAAAACAAUAAACUAAAAAAAAUCAAAAUAUGUCAUCAGAGUUACUGGCACAAACACAUUUCUAAGCCGAUUAGUGAGCUAAAUUCUGACAGGACUCCUUGCAAAUCAAAGCAAGCCCACCCAAGGCAUCCCUAUUGAAGGCUUGUUUGUAACCUAACAUAAACACUUAAUUUGGGGCUUGCAACAGUUGCUUCUGUCUUAGCAUCACAUAGUUAAAAAUAGCCCCGCCAGUCAGAGUGGUCUGGCGGUGAAGGACAAAGGAAAGUAUCAAGCUGGAAAAGAUACAGAGCAAGGUUGAGAAGGAUCCUGAGACUCUCUGAAGCUGCAUGUAAGCUCUGGGCACUUAUUACGCAGACAGUGUUGUCUGAAUCACCUGCAGUAAAGACUCAGGAAGGCAGAGGAUAUAUAUGCACUUCUUUAUUUUAAAAUAAAACCAUAACGCAUAACUUUAGAUCACUUUUUGUUUUCAUUUCUCCCAAGACAGGAUUUUCUCUGUGUAUCCCUGGCUGUUCUGAAACCCCAUCUGAAAACCAGGCCGGUUCUCCAACUCACAGAGUUCCUCCUGCCUCUGCCUCUGAAGUGCCGGGAUUAAGUGUGCACCACCACCACCCGACACAAACUUCCAUUUCUAUCAGUUGUACUGAAGUUGUAGUACUUUCCAUGUAAUUGAGUUUUUUUUUUUUUAAAAAAAAGAAAAGGAAAAAUUAUUCCCUUUCAUUUCAAAUGCAUGAUUCAGUUUUUUAAACUAAAUCGAACACUAAAUUUUGUCCCUUCUUAAAAAGUGACUGAAUCAGCAACUCGCAAGCUGAAAUCUCUCAAAGACCUCUUUAGAGCAAUAGGAAAAUUAUUUGCUCAAGUCAGAAUGAACCACUGCAGCACAGAACCUGCCCUUUCGCACCAGUGUGGCCGCUCUGAAGUGAGGCUCUGGAAGGUUCCAAUCUCUCACCUGUCUCCUCCCCGUCCCUCCCAAGGAGAUCGCUUUAGGGCUUGUGGUACAGGCCUGGUGUGGUCUCCUACACCAGUGUGGACAAAGGUGGCAGGACGGCAGCCCACCGAUACAACCCCUUUACUUUGCUUUUGGUUGUACUUGUACUGGUUGUUGCUGCUGGGAAUCAUGGGCCAGGUAAAAGCAGGUAGCAUGCAGCCAUGCUUGCUGGCUAGGCUCUUUUCUGGAGGUGCUUGGGAGGUUUACCAACUACCUCAGGAUCCCGGUGACAUGAGGGUACUCCUAGCUACAUCUAGGACUAGGGAGUCUAUAAUUCUGGAAAAGUUAUGCUUGUGAGUUUAACUGCACGAGGCAGUUUGCCGACAGUUGUCAAACCCAGAAUUAGGUGGGUUGGGUAGACCCCAUUUAUAGCAGUAAUACCCCAGCUUGGACCCUUGAAGAAUUAAAUGUCUCCAAAUUUCCACUAUUUUGAAUUCAUUAGGAGAAAGAAUGGCAACAUAUUUACAUAGACUGACAUUUUAUUUAAAGAGCAUAAUGACAGAAAAGUGGUAUGAACUUCGGGAAGGUUGGAGGGCCUUCUCUAUUAAGGGCUUUGAGGAAGUGAACAGGUAGCGUAAGAACCACAGUUUGGUUCCUUUUUUUUUUUUUUUUUUUUUUUUUUUUUUUUUUUUGUUCUUUUUUUCGGAGCUGGGGUCCGAACCCAGGGCCUUGUGCUUCCUAGGCAAGCGCUCUACCACUGAGCUAAAUCCCCAACCCCCCUUUUUAAAAAGACUUAUUUUUAUAUGUAUUGGUGCUUUGCCUACAUGUAUGUCUGUGUGAGGGUGUCAGAUCC